GAUGAAGAACGUAGCAAAAUGCGAUAAGUAAUGUGAAUUGCAGAAUUCAGUGAAUCAUCGAAUCUUUGAACGCACAUUGCGCCCGCCAGUAUUCUGGCGGGCAUGCCUGUUCGAGCGUCAUUUCAACCCUCAAGCACAGCUUGGUGUUGGGACUCGCGUUAAUUCGCGUUCCCCAAAUUGAUUGGCGGUCACGUCGAGCUUCCAUAGCGUAGUAGUAAAACCCUCGUUACUGGUAAUCGUCGCGGCCACGCCGUUAAACCCCAACUUCUGAAUGUUGACCUCGGAUCAUGUAGGAAUACCCGCUGAACUUAAGCAUAUCAAUAAGCGGAGAA
rnacentral:misc_RNA from 1 species